GCGGCAGGCUCCCCCCGCGCCCCGGGUGCCCGACCUCCCCUCCUCUUACACCAAGGCCUGCCCACGACCUUCUAGCCCUCACCGGAGACCACAUCAACGAGCACCCACGAUAUGGACCGUGAGCACGGAGACUCCCGGAUCAAAGUCAGCCACACACCCUCCGCCAGCGCGAACUAUAGAGGGACGAUCCUGAGAGAACUGGGACUAUAUCCUGGCCGGGGCCGGCAUCUGGUACGGGGCCUUAGGGGGGCGCAGACUCCCCCACCUGGAGUGUGGGUCUCUGUC